rnacentral:sRNA from 1 species
AUCAUGGACCCUUCAGCUCAAUGACUUUCCUGGUUCUCCUUUCUGUGUGACACACAGGAUCCUCGCUAUAUUGUUUCUGAGAAAAAGCUUGUAUUGCUUCUGGCCAUUUUCAUCCUAUUUAGAGCUUUGUAGAUUUCACUGAAGUUCUGUCUUUUUCCUGUGGCUUCCUACCUAGUUAUUUCUAGAGGAUUUGAAGGUUUAUACUUAUAGCCUCUUCUGGGGUCCUCUCAGGGUGCGCCAUCAUUGUCCGAGGUCAGCCUCGUGGUGGGCCUCCUCCUGAGCGGCAGAUCAACCUCAGCAACAUCCGUGCUGGAAAUCUUGCUCGCCGGGCAGCUGCCACACAACCUGAUGCAAAGGAUACCCCUGAUGAGCCCUGGGCAUUUCCAGCUCGAGAGUUCCUUCGAAAGAAGCUGAUUGGGAAGGAAGUCUGUUUCACGAUAGAAAACAAGACUCCCCAGGGGCGAGAGUAUGGCAUGAUCUACCUUGGAAAAGAUACCAAUGGGGAAAACAUUGCAGAAUCACUGGUUGCGGAGGGCUUAGCCACCCGGAGAGAAG